rnacentral:rRNA from 1 species
AGGGGAGUGAAAAAGAACCUGAAACCGUGUACGUACAAGCAGUGGGAGCACGCUUAGGCGUGUGACUGCGUACCUUUUGUAUAAUGGGUCAGCGACUUAUAUUCUGUAGCAAGGUUAACCGAAUAGGGGAGCCGAAGGGAAACCGAGUCUUAACUGGGCGUUAAGUUGCAGGGUAUAGACCCGAAACCCGGUGAUCUAGCCAUGGGCAGGUUGAAGGUUGGGUAACACUAACUGGAGGACCGAACCGACUAAUGUUGAAAAAUUAGCGGAUGACUUGUGGCUGGGGGUGAAAGGCCAAUCAAACCGGGAGAUAGCUGGUUCUCCCCGAAAGCUAUUUAGGUAGCGCCUCGUGAAUUCAUCUCCGGGGGUAGAGCACUGUUUCGGCAAGGGGGUCAUCCCGACUUACCAACCCGAUGCAAACUGCGAAUACCGGAGAAUGUUAUCACGGGAGACACACGGCGGGUGCUAACGUCCGUCGUGAAGAGGGAAACAACCCAGACCGCCAGCUAAGGUCCCAAAGUCAUGGUUAAGUGGGAAACGAUGUGGGAAGGCCCAGACAGCCAGGAUGUUGGCUUAGAAGCAGCCAUCAUUUAAAGAAAGCGUAAUAGCUCACUGGUCGAGUCGGCCUGCGCGGAAGAUGUAACGGGGCUAAACCAUGCACCGAAGCUGCGGCAGCGACGCUGAUGCGUUGUUGGGUAGGGGAGCGUUCUGUAAGCCUGUGAAGGUGUGCUGUGAGGCAUGCUGGAGGUAUCAGAAGUGCGAAUGCUGACAUAAGUAACGAUAAAGCGGGUGAAAAGCCCGCUCGCCGGAAGACCAAGGGUUCCUGUCCAACGUUAAUCGGGGCAGGGUGAGUCGACCCCUAAGGCGAGGCCGAAAGGCGUAGUCGAUGGGAAACAGGUUAAUAUUCCUGUACUUGGUGUUACUGCGAAGGGGGGACGGAGAAGGCUAUGUUGGCCGGGCGACGGUUGUCCCGGUUUAAGCGUGUAGGCUGGUUUUCCAGGCAAAUCCGGAAAAUCAAGGCUGAGGCGUGAUGACGAGGCACUACGGUGCUGAAGCAACAAAUGCCCUGCUUCCAGGAAAAGCCUCUAAGCAUCAGGUAACAUCAAAUCGUACCCCAAACCGACACAGGUGGUCAGGUAGAGAAUACCAAGGCGCUUGAGAGAACUCGGGUGAAGGAACUAGGCAAAAUGGUGCCGUAACUUCGGGAGAAGG